CCGUUGACUGAUUGGUAGAUACAGUUGUCAGUGUUUGUGCAGAGCAGCAGGGCCCUCCCUCCGGUCAUGGUGCUAGCAGCUGGCAUCCUUUCUGAGCUGGGAGA